AGACUUUGAUCCUGGCUCAGAUUGAACGCUGGCGGCNUGCCUAACACAUGCAAGUCGAACGGAAACAGAUCGCUGCGAUCCCUUCGGGGUGAGCUUGAUGCUGUCGAGUGGCGGACGGGUGAGUAAUACUUGGGAAUCUACCCAGUAGUGGGGGACAACACGAGGAAACUCGUGCUAAUACCGCAUACGUCCUACGGGAGAAAGUGGGGGAUCUUCGGACCUCACGCUAUUGGAUGAGCCCAAGUCGGAUUAGCUUGUUGGUGGGGUAAAAGCUCACCAAGGCGACGAUCCGUAGCUGGUCUGAGAGGACGAUCAGCCACACUGGGACUGAGACACGGCCCAGACUCCUACGGGAGGCAGCAGUGGGGAAUAUUGGACAAUGGGGGCAACCCUGAUCCANCAAUGCCGCGUGUGUGAANAAAGCCUGCNGGUUGUAAAGCACUUUCACUAGAGAAGAAAUGCCUGGGAUUAAUACCCCCGGGUCUUGACGUAACCUACAGAAAAANCACCGGCUAACUCCGUGCCAGCAGCCGCGGUAAUACCGANGGUG
rnacentral:rRNA from 1 species